rnacentral:rRNA from 1 species
ACUGUGCUGAAGGAACUCGGCAAAUUGCACGCGUAACUUCGGAAGAAGCGUGACCCCUUUUUACGCAAGUGGAAAGGGGUGGCACAGACCAGGGGGUAGCGACUGUUUAUCAAAAACACAGGGCUCUGCGAAGUUGCAAAACGACGUAUAGGGUCUGACGCCUGCCCGGUGCCUGAAGGUUAAGUGGAGGGGUGCAAGCUCUGAAAUGAAG